rnacentral:rRNA from 1 species
GGCGGCGUGCUUAACACAUGCAAGUCGAACGGUGACCCAGGGCUUGCCCUGGUGAUCAGUGGCGAACGGGUGAGUAACACGUGGGCAACCUGCCCCUGACUUCGGGAUAACUCCUCGAAAGAGGAGCUAAUACCGGAUACGACCACUUCGGACAUCCGAUGGUGGUGGAAAGUUUUCGGUCAGGGAUGGGCCCGCGGCCUAUCAGCUAGUUGGUGGGGUAAUGGCCUACCAAGGCGACGACGGGUAGCCGGCCUGAGAGGGCGACCGGCCACACUGGGACUGAGACACGGCCCAGACUCCUACGGGAGGCAGCAGUGGGGAAUAUUGCGCAAUGGGCGAAAGCCUGACGCAGCGACGCCGCGUGAGGGAUGAAGGCCUUCGGGUUGUAAACCUCUUUCAGCAGGGACGAAGCGAAAGUGACGGUACCUGCAGAAGAAGCACCGGCUAACUACGUG